rnacentral:rRNA from 1 species
GAUGAACGCUAGCUACAGGCUUAACACAUGCAAGUCGAGGGGCAUCAGGAAGAAAGCUUGCUUUCUUUGCUGGCGACCGGCGCACGGGUGAGUAACACGUAUCCAACCUGCCCUUUACUCGGGGAUAGCCUUUCGAAAGAAAGAUUAAUACCCGAUAGCAUAAUGAUUCCGCAUGGUUUCAUUAUUAAAGGAUUCCGGUAAAGGAUGGGGAUGCGUUCCAUUAGGUUGUUGGUGAGGUAACGGCCCACCAAGCCUUCGAUGGAUAGGGGUUCUGAGAGGAAGGUCCCCCACAUUGGAACUGAGACACGGUCCAAACUCCUACGGGAGGCAGCAGUGAGGAAUAUUGGUCAAUGGGCGCUAGCCUGAACCAGCCAAGUAGCGUGAAGGAUGAAGGCUCUAUGGGUCGUAAACUUCUUUUAUAUAAGAAUAAAGUGCAGUAUGUAUACUGUUUUGUAUGUAUUAUAUGAAUAAGGAUCGGCUAACUCCGUGCCAGCAGCCGCGGUAAUACGGAGGAUCCGAGCGUUAUCCGGAUUUAUUGGGUUUAAAGGGAGCGUAGGUGGACUGGUAAGUCAGUUGUGAAAGUUUGCGGCUCAACCGUAAAAUUGCAGUUGAUACUGUCAGUCUUGAGUACAGUAGAGGUGGGCGGAAUUCGUGGUGUAGCGGUGAAAUGCUUAGAUAUCACGAAGAACUCCGAUUGCGAAGGCAGCUCACUGGACUGCAACUGACACUGAUGCUCGAAAGUGUGGGUAUCAAACAGGAUUAGAUACCCUGGUAGUCCACACAGUAAACGAUGAAUACUCGCUGUUUGCGAUAUACAGUAAGCGGCCAAGCGAAAGCAUUAAGUAUUCCACCUGGGGAGUACGCCGGCAACGGUGAAACUCAAAGGAAUUGACGGGGGCCCGCACAAGCGGAGGAACAUGUGGUUUAAUUCGAUGAUACGCGAGGAACCUUACCCGGGCUUAAAUUGCAGUGGAAUGAUGUGGAAACAUGUCAGUGAGCAAUCACCGCUGUGAAGGUGCUGCAUGGUUGUCGUCAGCUCGUGCCGUGAGGUGUCGGCUUAAGUGCCAUAACGAGCGCAACCCUUAUCUUUAGUUACUAACAGGUUAUGCUGAGGACUCUAGAGAGACUGCCGUCGUAAGAUGUGAGGAAGGUGGGGAUGACGUCAAAUCAGCACGGCCCUUACGUCCGGGGCUACACACGUGUUACAAUGGGGGGUACAGAAGGCAGCUAGCGGGUGACCGUAUGCUAAUCCCAAAAUCUUCUCUCAGUUCGGAUCGAAGUCUGCAACCCGACUUCGUGAAGCUGGAUUCGCUAGUAAUCGCGCAUCAGCCACGGCGCGGUGAAUACGUUCCCGGGCCUUGUACACACCGCCCGUCAAGCCAUGGGAGCCGGGGGUACCUGAAGUACGUAACCGCAAGGAUCGUCCUAGGGUAAAACUGGUGACUG